rnacentral:rRNA from 1 species
CCUACGUGGGGCUGCAGUGGGGAAUAUUGGACAAUGGGCGAAAGCCUGACCCAGCCAUGCCGCGUGUGUGAAGAAGGCCUUCGGGUUGUAAAGCACUUUCAGUGGGGAAGAAAGCCUUGGGGCUAAUACCCUCGAGGAAGGACAUCACCCACAGAAGAAGCACCGGCUAACUCCGUACCAGCAGCCGCGGUAAUACGGAGGGUGCGAGCGUUAAUCGGAAUUACUGGGCGUAAAGCGCGCGUAGGCGGUCUGAUAAGCCGGUUGUGAAAGCCCCGGGCUCAACCUGGGAACGGCAUCCGGAACUGUCAGGCUAGAGUGCAGGAGAGGAAGGUAGAAUUCCCGGUGUAGCGGUGAAAUGCGUAGAGAUCGGGAGGAAUACCAGUGGCGAAGGCGGCCUUCUGGACUGACACUGACGCUGAGGUGCGAAAGCGUGGGUAGCAAACAGGAUUAGAUACCCCAGUAGUC